GUUAAUCUUUUUCUAUCUGUGUGACACAUUUAAGAUAUGAUUAAAAAUUUUAAGCAUUUCAGUACCAAAAUCUAUGAGAAAAUCAGCAAGAAAUCGUUUGUUAGGUAUUGUUAUUCGAGUCUGUAAGCUGUUCGAAAUUGAUCUUUCAGUUCUGUAGUUUCGUCGAUUAGUAGUAUUAAGUUCUCACGAUUUUCAGCGACCUAAUUUUACAUGGAUGAUGAUAAAUGUUUGAUAUGCACUACAUGUUAUCGACGAAUAUUAACAAAAGUUCUGCUUGAUUUUCACAAUUUCAUGUAUGGUGGAAAUUGUAAGAAGAUAAAAUUGUGUUUGUGUAUUGCUCACCUUCUAAUUUCAGUUCAUUUCUCCUACUCUCCUAGUUCUAAUCUCUGAGUGAUUCAAAUUUGAGGUUUUAGGGUUUAAAGACACCGAACACUGAACUUUCACAAUUCUGUGAGAUUAUGCUGUUUAUGAGCUCAAUGUUUUACUUUUCUGUAGAAUUGUUGUUAUUACUAGUAAAUGUUGUAUGUUAGAAAGUGUAUCUCAUGUACCCAUGACUACUGGGAUUGGUAAUAAAUAGCGUAUUAAGUUCCUACUGAAUUAAACCUCGGAGCUCAGUUUAUAUAAGUCAGGUCUGACUCAGUGGAGCAGUAGAUCAGUAUAUACAUUUUCAAGUUCGAGUCUGUCAAGAAAGUUGUUCAAGUCUUAAGAGAGUUUGAUGUGAAACAUGCAAUAGUGAAUUUGGUUGUACUUUCCAGAAAUAACAUGGUCAGCUAAUCACUACUGUAGGUGAUGGUAAGGAUUGUUUCGUAAUUCUUUUUGUGCUGUCAGGCUUACUGAGUAACCUUUACAGAAAAAUAUCAUCACAGUAAGUCCCCAGAUUCUUAAUGUGAGAAGUUCUGCUUGCUGGUAUAAAUUCCCACACCUCAAGCAUAUCUUCAGCUAUUAUAACUACAGAGGUUGGACAUAAUUCAAGCUACCGACUUGUGAGGAUGGUGGAAUCACCCUAGGAGGCUGCUAGAGAUUGCAAUAGUAAAAGUUCACUGCUAGGUCUGUUAUGAUACUCACAUUCACAAUGACACAAAUGAAGAAACUGGAAAGGAUUUUUUCAGUUCUUGGAAAUCAGCAUCAGUGGCAGAGGAUGAUGCUGUGGAUUUUACCUCUCCACCACUUUCCAAGGGAUCCAAGGGCAAACAAAGCAACUCUAACUUUGACAAACUGUAAGUGAUUACAAUCCGUAAGAGCAUGAUAUUUAUUUUAUUAAAUUAUUUUUAUCAUCUUAGAGAAAAUGAAUAUAGCUCCAGUAAAGUCUGUCUGUUCGUUGCAGUAUUGAUGCUUUACUUAAAAGCAUGAUUGCUCCUGUUUCUUUCAAGUUCAUUUUCCAGUUUUGGAUGGUUUAUCCAGAUAUAAUUACGCUAAAUCUUACUCUCUUUUGGACCUAUCUAUUUUGUAAUAGUGGGCUUCCUACAUGAUUACAAUACAUUACUCACCAUAUGAAUGAAUAUCCCGGAUUCAGUAAUUCAAUGGAGAAAACAAUUUCUUGUGGACUUUACUUGCUCAGAAGUGGACAUUAUUCAAGUGUUAGCUCAGAAAACAAUUUCUAGUGUUAGCUCAGAAAGAUCCAAAAGCAAGCACUACAAAGCCGUCAUUGCACAAGCCAAUUGUAGGUAUUGGUAUGAAGUUGAGUAUAAAGUCUAAAGGUACAGGUAUGUUUCCAAAUGGUUCUCUUUCAAGUUUAAAAAAGAAAAAGCCUCCUAAAUCUAAAGUUCCUAACAAGGUUUCCGCAGAUAAACUAGUGGAGUUUGGAUCUUCUUGGGGAUUAGAAUUUCCACCUUUGAAGACUAACCGUGAAGAGAUGUUUAGCGAUUUGGGAAAAAACCACGAUGAUUUAUUUGUAGAAGAUGUUGAUAGGUCUUAAAUGUCUUUAGUGGUCCUCAUUGCGGUUUGCAAGUUGCUCUUUGUUUGUUAGGUUUCACAAGUUGUGUCUUUUGUUGACACUCUUUGUUCUCUUAGAAAUUUCUUUGUAUUCUUAGAAAUCUCUGUCACUCUUUUGUGGGCUUUUGCGCUCUUGGUUGUUGUAUUCGCCAGCACACGGCUUGUGUGCAUUUUAAUCUAUUCUCUUUGAUCGAUCAAAAAAAAAAAAAAACUUGCUCAGAAGUGAUUUGUUCAGAGAUAUGGACUUUCUCUUGAUGGUGACUUUGGCAAUAUACCAUCAUCCUUCAAAAGGAGUUUGAAAGUGGAAAACUUGAAAACAAGCAAGACCUUGUGGACCAGAAGAGUUUCCUGAAGACUUGUGGACUCUGGUUAAUCAGCACGGAGGACAGAUCCCUUAUAUUUACUAGUUGUAUGUUUCGCAUAAAUAGCUUCAAUUAACACUGAGAAG